rnacentral:lncRNA from 1 species
GACCCAGAUCCGCCCCAAUACUCCAGGUUAUGUCCUGUCUCAUGGACUACUACAGAAGCACUAAAACCGUCGCACACAAAGGCACCACGGGACUCCCACCAUCACCAGAGCUCUCCGCCUGCCUCUGGCGCUAGCUGUCAGAACCGCUUCAGCUGAAAUCAAGUUCUUUAGAUUUAUGCAGUAGCCAUGUUUGUCAAAGUAUUUGGCUCUGGUGACAUCAUCUUUGUUGAAACGCCGGACAGCAUGAUGAGUCCCAGAUGUUAAUGCACACUGAGAGUCGAGAAAGAAUAAAAUCCAAAGAUCAACACUAACAGCUCUGGAGGAGUGCACUCACUUUGCACUCUGGGGUUGAUGGAUGAAUACGUGAUUUUUUCCAAGGCAUCCUAAAGCUGUUAAACCUUACAGUCUGUUUUCUUUCUGCCUGGCUUGUAAACUUUCGGCUCGGUGAAAGAAGUUGUGAGUUAUUUUCCUCUGGCAAAUGAAGCUCCAGGCAUGGAUCCCUUGCUGCUGACACAGUGCAAAGGAUAAAAAAGCCAUUUAAAAGACGGGUAAGAACAAACAACGUGAUUAAAGGGAGCUGCCAAAAGCUGUACAAGUGUCAGCUGCCACCACUGCUCGUUACAUGGAUGAAGCUGUUGACUUUUAAUUUAUAGACAUUUGAGAAGGUGUACGUGAAGACUUGAAAAGAAGGCUUUCUUUUGCUAAAAGAAAAAAGAGAACUGUUAUUAAGAACCUCUGCUGAAAUACACUGAAUUACUUCUGCUGGUCUGUGCUAUUUGCCAAUGAGAUCUUUCUGGUUGUGUCAGAAGAUGUUCAGUCUGUCGUUCAGAUCCUCAAGCAGUGAAAUGGAGGAGAUAGUAUUUGACCAUCUGGCACUGUCUUCUUGGGCUUUACUGACUGCAAAAACAGAAGAUGUUCUGCUGAGUGAUGGCUGGUUUUUGUCCUGUCAUGUCCUGAGUUUCCACAUCCCCCUGCUCGAAGAAAUGCCAGUUCUUCCAACCACUUCUUUUUUCCUGGAUACCUGUCAACUGUUCACAUUCAGAGACCUUGGAAGGGUAACCAACUUUGAAGAUUUUGUAGACGGCUUUUUGCCCGAAUGGGAAACUGCUGAGUUUCAUCUCAUCCCUGUAGUGGUUAAUUCCAGGACACUGGGAAAGACCCCGAGCUCUAAACGUUGGAUUAAGAUCUUCACUUCAGCAGCUGAGACAAUCACACUCAGGAAACUGGGAAAAAGAGUCCUGAGGGCAGAAAGAAAGGAGAUCUACCUGGUGGUGGCAGAACAAAAAGAUUACACAACCUUGCAAGAAGAAUGUUAUUUAAGAGAAUCCUCAAAGGCCGCUCUAAGGAUUGCUGCUGAGAAUAAAGCACCUGAGAUGGAUAAUGUUCUUACAACAAAAGAGUUUAAAAUAAAAGGUUCAGUCUUGCAAGAUGUGAAUAUAAGAAGCUAUCUUCAACUGAAAAGUCUAUAGAAGAGAUUUUGGAACAAACAGAAGAUCAACAGGAUCUAAUUGUGAGGAGCGGACGAUACUUCUCCAGAUGGAACUGAAAUGUGAAAUUACAGAAUUUUAACUUCGGUACCAGGUGCAAAGAGUGAGUAAUGUGGUGAUCAGAAGGAAGGCUGACUGUCUGAAAAGAAGCUGGACCCAGUAAAACCGGUUGAGAAGGGACACAAUUGCUGUCUAUAAAUUUAUGAUGAGGUGACUACUUCAUCAACUUGGCUUUUCACUGGCAUAGAAGAACCAGAAAAUGAACCUGGCACUAGAAGCCUGUGUUUCUUCUGCAGCUGGGAAAGCGGUGGGCCUCUCCAGAGCAAGAUUCACCAAAGCAUAUACAAGACUCUCGAUGCUGGAUGUGAAGGCAGAGAAACAAUUUACUGUUUUAAAACAAAGAGCCUGUUCCUCAGGAGACAUAGACUGAUUCAUGUGAAGGCACACCCCAGUUUCCUUGACUGCAAUGCAAUCCAAAUGCAGGCUUCAAGACCCAAUGGUCAGAGUAUUGGGUCAAGCUGAGAACUUGUGGGUUGUUGUCCUGGGCUCAGCUGCUCAUCUUGCCUCAACCUCUUCAGCAAAAAAUAAGUGGUAUCUCAAGAUGAAUGGCAGGAUAAUACCCAUUUGAAAUAUAAGUGGACAGCAGCAUCAGAUCAAAUGGAUGGUGAAAAGAGACUGAAUGGAAAAUGAUGACAGGGCAAAAAUGUCCCUUCCUACCAACAUCUUCAAUGUUUUCAUUUCCAAGCAUUUGUUAAGCAAGGAAGAGGAUCUCUCUCUAUUUAAUGUAAUUUAGUGAUAAUUCUUUGGAAAAGAGAAAAUAUCCUUUCACAGCUGUAUCAACAAUAUCUUCUCUCUUAAAAGAAAACAGCAGCUGACUUGACAUGUCAAGCAUCACGUAUUUGGCCACGGAAGGCAAGCAUGAGCCAGACUGGUCAAUAGCACUGACUUGGAACAAUGCCACUGAAAAGUUGGUCUGUAAACUGAUGCUACCUUAUUUCUUGGAUUGUAGAAGGGCUUGCUGAGAUUUAGCAGCAAUGCAGAACUACCACAUUCCCGGUAGAUAUUUCUUUUCUUGUUACAUGAGACCCAUGCAUGAAGUGAAAAAGAACAAAUGAACAUCAGGUUUACAUCACCACUGAUAUGUGAAUGAUUGAUCACCCAUUAAAUCACAUACAGAGCUGGUAACAGCACACGGGGUAGCGUUAAAGUAAAAUGUUUGAUAUUCUUUACUCUAAUUAAACAUGGAAAUAAUACGAUGCAGUCUGUAUUGUAAAUGUUAUUGCAGAUUAUAGACCUAAAGGAGAGGUGUUAUGCCACCUUUAUAGCCUCCAGUUCCUGGAGACUGUGACUUAGAGCUGCCUCAGGGCUGCCCUAAAUUACACCAGUUGGUAAUGACUCCCAGAGGGCCGCUAUGCAUCCAGUGGUUGCUGGAGUGUAAAGUACUUUGGCUAUGCCAACAGCCCAUCAUUUCACAAUGGAGGCUGAGAGCAGCUGGCAUAGUGCUUGGAGAAAAUCCCCAAGUAGUGGUUUAAGACAUUUUUCGAACUCUUUUUUUUUUGUCAUGAGAGUGAUAUAAAAUAAAGGCCAGAUUUCACAAACACACAGGGGCUUUUCCUUUAUUAUUUAAGCAUCUGUAGUCGUGAGUUGAUAAACUGAGAGAUGAGGGUUUCUAUAGGAUUUCAGAGCAGGUAUCAACCCAAUACUGCUUCAGCUUGGCAGCAUUCCAGCUCUUUGCCCUGGCCCCUAUUCCCUGCGUGGUGCAGUGGAGCACCACUGGCUGUCAAAGGCAUACUCCUGGUUUACAUCUCUGUUAGCAAAAGGAGAACUGGAUUCCCCCUUGUAAGUGCCAGAUUUUCAAUUCAGGAUCAUAUUCCAUUCUUCGAUGGAGCUGCCAAAGAUAAAACUUGACUUUCCACAUGUAAAAUGUUUUUGUAAAUGUAUGUGUGACUCAUUCAAUAGCUCAGCCCAUCCUCACUCAGUGAGUGAUGAUUUUUCUGUCCAGUGUGUGGGUGGGCUGACCAUUCUUACGCAAAUCUCAAAUAUAAAAAGUUUUCUUGGACAUUAGGGAAUAAUAUUGGCAGUUUGGGGAUUUUGUUUUGAUGUGAUGCUCACUUAAAGCAUCCUGAAGAUAAUAGCUGACUGCUAGCAGCAGAAACUCACAACUCACAAACUGAGAUGAUGCAGCCCAAAAUUCAGAUGGCUGUGUUUUCAAAUCUCUGAGAUAACAAGCCACUGCUGUUGAUCUUACUAUAAGUUCUAUGAAACAUAAUCAAAAAUAAAGUAAGGGACAGAGAUAUCACAGGUAGGAAAUCCUUUGGGCAGUCACAGGUAGGUGUUGUUCUCAGAUAAAUUUACUAGAGAAAAGUAAGUAUCUUUUCUGUUCUAAAGAGAGUUAUUUUAAAGAGUCACUGAGCUCCAAUAUCACUGAGGAGGAGAAUGAUUUCACGGAGAAAUUUUUCUGGAUGUGAAUUCAUAAAGGACUCACUCUCACAUUGUGUGGAGAAAGAUGAGUGUUAAGACAGAGGGCUGAGCUGUAACCUUCCUAAUGGGAAGAAAAAACUAGAAUUCCCUUCUCUUUCGCAGAGUUCUCUGAGCUAGUCCUGGCUAGCAGACCUGUGUAGGGCAGCAAAAAGACAAAAGAAGGACUGAUUAAAGAAGCUAACAUGGCAUCUUGUCUGCUCCCUGACUGUGCAUCCUUCUGUACACGUGGAAGAGAGAUGGUCUGGCAUUUCUGUCUCUCCCUGCAAGGAUCAAAUGGUGGUGAGAAAACUUCCUUGGUGCUUUGUACCUAUCUGCUGACAGAUGGACACACAAAGAGUUCCCAAAAAAAGGUGAGGAACGUGGAUCAUCAAAUGGUAGUAUAAAACAUAAUAAAAUGGUCAGAAAAAGACAUUAUCUGGCCCAUCGUUCUGCCUGAAGGCAGGAUUGACUUCAGCUACGUACAUUCUGAUAGCCAUCUGUCACUCUAUUUUUUGAAUUAUUAAAUGAUUUUUAGUAGUUAUAACACCUGUUAUUAUCCUCUAAGCAAUCCAUUCCAGUGAUUAGCUAUUAUUUCUGCACCCUGGAAUAACAUUGUUAACCUAGAACUAACAUGAGCCAAAUACUGGAGGUAUACGUGUUAUACUCACUUCUUUCACUAGAUCCUUUCUGGAGUUUGGAAAGAAGCCUAAUUAAAAUUAGAUGACUUGCACCCCCCCAUAUCAAAGGAUCUGGGCCAUGAUUUCUGUUGAUUUAAUGGUUUAAAAUUGACAAAAUUCCUUGGAUGGAGAAGGAUUUAUUUUGUAUUUCUACUGGAGCUGGAAUACAAUACCUGAGGACAGGAAAGUGUUUUGUUAAAAAAUAAAAGCAACUGAUUUUGUCUUCUGUGUGCUUUUAAAAUUUGUUCUGAAGGCAGAAAGGGAUGGAUAACUAUGUAAUUAAAGAGAGCUAAAGGAGGGACAGUAAUGAACAAAUACCAUUAUUUUUGCCAUAGUUCUUAAGGAAGCUAAGGUAGAGGUGCAGAAAAUCUGUUACAGUGAUGCACUUUACUUAGCAUGGGAGUUCAUGCAGUGCAAAGAGCUUGAUGUGUGCAGCUGAGCUGGGCCUAAUGGGCAUCAGUUGUUAUCUGUGGAAAUGGAGUCUGUUAGAAGGAGGCUGGCUACUAUACCCGUCUGAGAUGGCUAGUGGGAUUUUCAACAUACUAGUGACCUUUUCUUACUCAUUUUGCUGAAUUUUUAUCCAAUAAAAGCCAUCAUGUGCCCCAUAUACCCAAGUCUGUAUUGUGCAUUAUGAGUCCGUUGGUGAGGGUGUUGUGAGAAGCAGAUGGAGAGGAGUAGAAGACUGUAGAGAUGGAACAGGGGUUGGGGAACAAGGGGAGCUGCUGAAAGCCAUAUACACUCAAGCACUCUCACAUUUACAUAUAUUCUUUUAAGUAUGCUUUUAUACAUACAUGUAUAUGCAUGUAUAUACAAAGUGCAUUCUACACAGCAUUUCUCUCCCAGAAAUGCAGAAACUGCUGUGAAUCUGCCAACAGGCUUUGCAUACUUAUGCUAGGAAAAUUCUUAAGGAAAACGAUUAUAUACCUGUUGUAAAUUGAUCCAGUUUGAUAAGAAUUUUGCUAAUUAAUUAUGUGCCUUAUAAAGCUCCUGGCACAUGAGGAAGUUACAGACAAUUAUGAGUAACUAAGUACAGAAGUUUAAAUAGCAAAAAACUUGUUACCUGUUAAUGCUGUUCCCUGUCCAUUUUGAUGGGCGCAUACUGGUUAUGGUCACUCUCCAAUCCUGUAUUAAAUAAACAUAAGUUUAACAGAAAUGUUGCCGACUUUGUUUUCAUUGUGCAGCAAAUUAUUGCCAUGCAAGGUUUAACUAUGGCUAGUGAAAGUCACAAAGACCAAGUGGUAUUGUUCCAUAGGGCUGCUACAGCAGUUUAGUAACGUAAUAGCUCUGAUUUUCAGAAUCCUGACAAGUUACUAUGGCUUUGAUCAAACAUGAAAGGAAGUACAGUUUUGUUCCAGACCAUUUAGAACAAAAGCUUUGUUUACUUUUUUUCCCUAUUUUUUUUGAAAAUGUGUGGGUUUCUCAUCAAAUAAGAUCAGCUUCAGUCUUAGGUCAACAUGACAUUUAGCAUGCGUGUCUUUGUGCAAAGGUGGACUACUUUUUCAGUGAAAAUCAGCUCAGUUUUUAGAAGAAAGUGGGUUCUAGAGGUUGAAGGUUUACCGACAAAACUCCAACCAAUUGCAAUUUUAAUAACAUGUAAACAAGUGGAUUAUCUACGGUGGGCUGAAUGCUGACAGGUGAGCAACAGUGCUGGAUGCUUCCAGGAUGCAAACAUAAUCUUGAGAGACAGAGAGACCUUCCUCAGAAGCACGAGUACACAGGAUUCAUUGGGUAGGUUGCUUCCUCCCAUAGGAAAGUCUAUGUUGUAAAUGCUUAGUCCAGUUUCUAAGGUCUCUGAUAGGCUUUUAUAUCUGGAUCUGAUCCACAAAUAGACCUGGCUCCUCUUCAAGCUAGUGAGCCUAGUGAGGUUGGGAAUCUGACCUUGCCCUUUUAUAGCUAGUGGAGUUUGCGUGUAUCUCUCCUCACACCAGUGUUUACAGUUGACAUUGAUGAAGUUUCAGUAUUGGCCCAUAAUAGCGGG